rnacentral:lncRNA from 1 species
AGAAUCACCUCAUUCGUUUUCGAGACGCUGUACGGUAUGCGUAUUACAGGUUACAGCGUACUUCAACAUUUUCCAUCGUGAAGAUAGAAAGUCCCACUCCCAGUGUGUCGUGAGUGUGUCAGAGUGUCCUGAAAGUGUCCUGAAAGUGCUGUGCGUAUGCUGAAAUGUCAUCUCGUACUAGAUAUUUUAAAGGAGAAUGAUAGCCUCGGAAUAAGCUGCUGUUGUCUCUGGUGAAUCUACAGUUACUUGCUUACCUUCUUCACCAUUUUUCGACAUGUGCUGGUUUGUCUUCUUCACAACACUCGCUCAUCAUCUAGCUUCAAUCACAGCUUCAAUGCUGCUAAUGUUGCUUCACAACUUAUCUUACUCCACUGACAAGUUAGACCUCUUCAGUCCACUGUAAAUCACCAUGGGAAAACGGCCAGGUACGAAAGCGGUGAAUUAACAGAAUGCUGUACAUUUUCAAAAAAUGUCUCGUGCUGCAUGUUGGACGUUUCGUCACAUGCAGAAAUACUUCUGAACACGUUCACAUUUACACAGAUGAUGUUGCCAUCCAACUGACAAGUCAAACUAUGCUGGUGAAAGAUAAUCGUACAUCAGAUGGUUUUGUUGCAGCCAGCUGUUGAGAGGGUGGUUUGAGGUGACCUGCAGAUGCUGCAAGUAUUCACUCCCUGUGUCAUCCGGUGUCAUCUGACCAUGUGUCCUGAAAGUGCUGUCCGUAUGCUGAAAUGUCGUCUCGUACAACUGGAAACUUUAUUGGAAUGAUAAUGGAAUAAUUCAUUACAAUUUCAUUUUGUUCAACUACACUGAGAUGAGAAAAAUUACUUAAGAACACAAAGGGAUUAAAUUUUGUAAAACUUAAAAUACAAAUGACUUGUUAUUUCUGA